rnacentral:rRNA from 1 species
UACGGGGGGGGGCAAGCGUUUGUUCGGAAUUACUGGGCGUAAAGGGCUCGUAGGUGGCCAACUAAGUCAGACGUGAAAUCCCUCGGCUUAACCGGGGAACUGCGUCUGAUACUGGAUGGCUUGAGGUUGGGAGAGGGAUGCGGAAUUCCAGGUGUAGCGGUGAAAUGCGUAGAUAUCUGGAGGAACACCGGUGGCGAAGGCGGCAUCCUGGACCAAUUCUGACGCUGAGGAGCGAAAGCCAGGGGAGCAAAGCGGG